rnacentral:tRNA from 2 species
ACGUUGUUAGUAUAAUUAAAUUAUACUACUUUUCCAAAGUAGUGAUCUAUUCAUUUAGAUAACGUA